rnacentral:lncRNA from 1 species
AGUCUGAGAGUCCCUCCGCCCCACAGACUGUGUGCGAAGAAGGCCAAAGUUAAGGUGCAGCCAGCGAUCCCGGGACAGGGGACAGGAGAGGUUUUGUGCAGAAGUGGCCCUUUCCUCCCGGGCUGCACCGCUCUGGGGCUGGCCCCAGCUCCUGCACGUUCAGGGGUAGGCAGCCGUGUGUCCGUGCUUCGGACCCUGCAGCCUGGCCCCCCUUGCUGUAACAAGCCCAGUGUCCCCCUGCCGGGUAAGUGUCCCCGAGGCAGGCUGGCCUCAGGGGGCAUUAGGGGCUCCGCGAGCAGCACCCAGGGCUCGUCUGCCCCUUGCAGAGACCAGGAGGAGGUGGGAGCUCCUCGUCUGUGCCAUCCUGCCUCAGGGGGUGUGGGGUUGGUCCCUGUGGGAAGGAGGGACAGAGGCUGCAGAAGGCUUCCAUUCACCAGCAGCCUUUCAUCCCAUGUCCCAGGGCCACAGCCACCCUGUCUCCAUCCCUGUUUACUGAUGGGGCCGAUAGGGCCAGGACAGGAGAGGUUGCAGGUUCCCCUAAUCGCCUUAUCACCGGGCCGGACAAUCUCAGACACUCAGAGGAUGUUUUGACUGCGCCGAAUUACAAUGUUUGUUGUUUCUCACUCCCAAUAAUUGACAUUUGAUAGCGACUACUGUAAAGGCGGCCGAGGGGCUGGGGCUGAGCCAGGAGAGAGGCAGGGGGCCCUUCCCCUCCGGCAGCCCCCGAGCCCUGUGGUUUAGGGCUUGGGCUGUUUCCCCCCCUCCCCUCCUUGCGCUGCCUUUCUGUGCGAGGAAGAACUCAGCCCCCCCAGAGCCUCCCAGUGAUGGGAUCUGGCCGGGAGAUGGAGGCGGGGGGGGACAGGGCUCAUGCACAGCAGUCCUGCCCGGGCUGGGGCUUCCAAAGCAGGUUGAAAAAUUAUUUUUAAAAGACAUUAAAAAUACGAGCACGGUUUGCACUUACCAGUGCGGAAAUCGCGGAAAUUUAGGGAGGGCUAAAAGGGGGGGUGGCAGCAGGGGGGAGCCCUGGGGGGACCUUGGCCGUGCAAUGAAGGCGGGGGACGCGCAAUGAAAGCCACUCUCUUUAAUGACAACUCGCUGAUCUCCGUCAGCUGCUACAGCAAAGGGAAAGGCGGCGGGACGAGGAGAGGACAGUGCAUUUCGGUACUAACGGACGUUUUAGUGCAUAACCCUACAGGGACCGGGGGGUCGGGGGGGCCUUGUUCCCCAGGGGGGCUGACC